CUUCUUCGAUCUGCUGCGGGGCAAUGAAAUGGAUAUGGGUGUCGAUGCCGCCUGCGGUGACGAUAUUGCCUUCGCAGGAGAUGAUCUCCGUGCCUGGGCCGAUGAUGAUGCUCACGCCCGGCUGGGUGUCGGGGUUGCCGGCCUUGCCUAUGGCCACGAUGCGGCCGUUCUUGAGGCCGAUGUCGGCCUUGACGAUGCCCCAGUGGUCCAGGAUCAGUGCGUUGGUCAGCACGGUAUCGACCGUGCCACCUCCGUCAGGGCCGGUUCCCGUCCCGUCGCGUGUG
rfam:Comamonas testosteroni CNB-2, complete genome.